rnacentral:lncRNA from 1 species
CGGCGGCGAGUCACCUCGGGUUGACUGUUUUCGGCCGUUUCCGGCCGAAUUCGGCCACACUCGCAUUGGUCCUUGUCAGAAAACAACCCUAGGGCCCUCGGGGGGCCAAAAAAUUACGGAAAAACGGAGCUUACCGGUGGCGGCACUCUCGGGUGCAGCGGCUCUCCGGCGAGGUUCGUGUUUUGGUGAUUCGGCUCCGGUCAACCUGUAGAGAAAAGAAUGGUGAUCACGGUGAUAUAAAAAUUGCAUCGAACGGAGGCCGGGAAGGGCCUCGUCGGAGGCAAAAACCGAGAGGGGGCGCGGCGGCGCCGCUGGGCUUCGGCCGCGUAUUCCGGCCGUUUGGCCGGGAUUUCGGUUUCGAUUUGGCCAUAGGAGGAAUCAGUGGGGAAAAACGAGUCGGGGGUAUGAAAUUUACCUCGAUCGGCGGUCGGAAAUUUCCCCGGUGCGGCGGCGAGUGGCGGCGGGUGGCGGCGGUCGGCCUCUGGUUCGUCUUCUCCGGCGAGCGGCUGGCGGCUAGGGUUUGUGGUCUGGUGUGGGGGUUCUAUUUAUAACCCCUUGCCUUUUGAUCACAGCCGUUCAUUUUGUUUUAAUCUGGGCCGUUCGUUUUUUAUUGAAUCUGGGCCGUCCGUGCGAUUGAAUCUGGGCCGUCCGAUCGCGUGAUUGAUCUGGGCCGUCGGAUCGCACCCACGCGGAUCGCCAACGUGGCUCCUUUUGGAGUGACGCGAUCUUGCCACGUGGCAGGCCCUGGUUGGCCGGGACUGCUGACGUGGCUGCUGACG